rnacentral:piRNA from 1 species
UAACAGCCAUAUUAAUUUCAGCCC